GUAACAAGGUUUCCGUAGGUGAACCUGCGGAAGGAUCAUUACCUAGAGUUUGUAGACUUCGGUCUGCUACCUCUUACCCAUGUCUUUUGAGUACCUUCGUUUCCUCGGCGGGUCCGCCCGCCGAUUGGACAACAUUCAAACCCUUUGCAGUUGCAAUCAGCGUCUGAAAAAACAUAAUAGUUACAACUUUCAACAACGGAUCUCUUGGUUCUGGCAUCGAUGAAGAACGCAGCGAAAUGCGAUAAGUAGUGUGAAUUGCAGAAUUCAGUGAAUCAUCGAAUCUUUGAACGCACAUUGCGCCCCUUGGUAUUCCAUGGGGCAUGCCUGUUCGAGCGUCAUUUGUACCUUCAAGCUCUGCUUGGUGUUGGGUGUUUGUCUCGCCUCUGCGUGUAGACUCGCCUUAAAACAAUUGGCAGCCGGCGUAUUGAUUUCGGAGCGCAGUACAUCUCGCGCUUUGCACUCAUAACGACGACGUCCAAAAGUACAUUUUUACACUCUUGACCUCGGAUCAGGUAGGGAUACCCGCUGAACCUAAGCAUAUCA
rnacentral:misc_RNA from 1 species